rnacentral:ncRNA from 1 species
AACAAAGAUAAAAACGCAACGCAUGUCCCUGAGGAUGUGCCAGAGCCGGUAGGUAGCCCGGCCGUCUCAUUUCAGAUGAGGUAAGUAACCUGCCCUCCGGGUUGUCCAUUCUUUGUUCAUAA